GGAGAGUUUGAUCCUGGCUCAGGACGAACGCUGGCGGCGUGCCUAAUACAUGCAAGUCGAGCGGACUUGAUGGAGUGCUUGCACUCCUGAUGGUUAGCGGCGGACGGGUGAGUAACACGUAGGUAACCUGCCCAUAAGACUGGGAUAACCCACGGAAACGUGAGCUAAUACCAGAUAGGCAUUUUCCUCGCAUGAGGGAAAUGAGAAAGGCGGAGCAAUCUGUCACUUAUGGAUGGACCUGCGGCGCAUUAGCUAGUUGGUGAGGUAACGGCUCACCAAGGCGACGAUGCGUAGCCGACCUGAGAGGGUGAUCGGCCACACUGGGACUGAGACACGGCCCAGACUCCUACGGGAGGCAGCAGUAGGGAAUCUUCCGCAAUGGACGAAAGUCUGACGGAGCAACGCCGCGUGAGUGAUGAAGGUUUUCGGAUCGUAAAGCUCUGUUGCCAGGGAAGAACGCCUAGGAGAGUAACUGCUCUUAGGGUGACGGUACCUGAGAAGAAAGCCCCGGCUAACUACGUGCCAGCAGCCGCGGUAAUACGUAGGGGGCGAGCGUUGUCCGGAAUUAUUGGGCGUAAAGCGCGCGCAGGCGGCAAUGUAAGUUGGGUGUUUAAACCCAGGGCUCAACCUUGGGUCGCAUCCAAAACUGCAUAGCUUGAGUACAGAAGAGGAAAGUGGAAUUCCACGUGUAGCGGUGAAAUGCGUAGAGAUGUGGAGGAACACCAGUGGCGAAGGCGACUUUCUG
rnacentral:rRNA from 1 species